rnacentral:misc_RNA from 1 species
GUUGUUGUAUUGACAUUUAGGGAUCGAUUUAAUGGUGCACCUUAAUAUGUAAACUCAAACCAAGAAGAGCUGAAUUUAGGAACUCUUUGGUGCACAGUAUAAGUGCUGAGCCAAAUUUGAAUACACAAUGAGUGAAUUAUACCGGUAGAUAGAAGUAUCAUAUCCUAUACUGAGCAUUUGAAAUAAAAUGCUUUCAAUGAAUCUCAAACUCUUGAACUGGAUAUUCAUUUACAUGCAAGAUAUUUUUGCAAAACUUGCAUAUAUUGUACAUGUGGAAGAUCAACACUUGUGAAUCAAAAAGUGUUUUCUUUUGUUUAUUCAAUAUUGUGUUUGCCUAAACACCUUUGAUAGAUUUUGGAAGUUUAAAAAAACACUUUAUCACUACCUUUUUCUAGGUUUUAUUUUUUUCCAUGGAAGUAAUGUAACUGAUGUAUGAAAAGUUCCCAUCAAUGUAUGAUAGGGACUGGAGAACUUACUUUUUGCAGUUGUUUUUAUAGUGUAGCCUUUUACACAACUUGGAAUAAUAUUUUGUGUUGCCUAAAUUUAUGUGUAUAUUAUGAUAUAUGACAAAUGAUAAAUUUAUAUUUUGCAUAAUAAAAGCUGAUUUGAU